rnacentral:tRNA from 1 species
GUUUCUUAUAGUGUAAAAAACACAUCAGUUUUUCACACUGAAAAUGGACUAGUCCUAAGGGCU